rnacentral:rRNA from 1 species
GAUGAACGCUGGCGGCGUGCCUAAUACAUGCAAGUAGAGCGCUGAAGCUUGGUGCUUGCACCGAGCGGAUGAGUUGCGAACGGGUGAGUAACGCGUAGGUAACCUGCCUCUUAGCGGGGGAUAACUAUUGGAAACGAUAGCUAAUACCGCAUAAAAGUCGAUAUCGCAUGAUAUUGAUUUGAAAGGUGCAAUUGCAUCACUAAGAGAUGGACCUGCGUUGUAUUAGCUAGUUGGUGAGGUAACGGCUCACCAAGGCGACGAUACAUAGCCGACCUGAGAGGGUGAUCGGCCACACUGGGACUGAGACACGGCCCAGACUCCUACGGGAGGCAGCAGUAGGGAAUCUUCGGCAAUGGGGGCAACCCUGACCGAGCAACGCCGCGUGAGUGAAGAAGGUUUUCGGAUCGUAAAGCUCUGUUGUAAGAGAAGAACGAGUGUGAGAGUGGAAAGUUCACACUGUGACG